rnacentral:rRNA from 1 species
UACGAGGGGUGCAAGCGUAGCUCGGAAUUAUUGGGCGUAAAGGGUAGGUAGGUGGUCUCAUUUGUCUGGGGUGAAAGCCUUGAGCUUAACUCAAGAAGUGCCUCGGAAACGGUGAGACUGGAGUCUUGGAGAGGGUUGCGGAAUUCCCGGUGUAGCGGUGAAAUGCGUAGAGAUCGGGAGGAACACCAGAGGCGAAGGCGGCAACCUGGACAAGUACUGACACUCAACUACGAAAGCGUGGGGAGCAAACAGG